GGCUGCGAGAGUUGAGGCUCGGGUGUGAAAUUCAUAGUUUUUUAAGGUUUUUAUCGUUAACUCAAUCGUUUCCUGUGUUGUAGUUGUGUGUCUUAUUUUGAAAGAAAUAUUGAAUAUGGAAAGAAAUAUUUCUCGUUUGGCUCUUGACGAAGACUGAGAAGAUGUGGCAGUGAAGAUGAUGCCUUCAGAUAAUAUCUUGGUUUUCUCUACAAGAAAGCUGACUAGGAGUCUAGCCAGGUGCCUGAGCAAGGACCAGGGUUUUUGACACAAUCUUAGCAGUUUCUAAUGACUUUGGGCUUUAAAUGUCAAUAUGGACGGCAUUGAUGAAAGCUACAUCUGGGAGCGCCGCAUUGCCCAUGGCAUUAGGUAUCAAAGAGGAGCAGUCCCCUUCCCAGAAUCGGUUGAUAUUGGUCUGGAGUUCAAUGCGGCACUUGAAAGGAAGGAGAAGCUGGAUCAGAGCCUGCUGACGAAUAGUGUUAUGCUGGAAAUUUGUCAGUUUGCCAAAACGGUGACCAGGUCUGAGAAGUAUUUCUUGUUCGAAAUGCUGGAGUUCAACUUCGACCUUGGCUUUGACAUAAACAAUGACAGUCUGUGCUACAUCUAUGCAGUUCGUGUCCACAACAGAAUUAAGCACCUGAAGGAGCAAAUAAAGAUGAAGCCAAAUAGAUGGAAAGAAACAUUUCAGUUGCCAGAUCCAAGUGUUUUAGCCGGGUCCAAAGAAGACGUGUCAGGACGAUACUGUCCAAAAUGGAACAAAAUUGCUGAUAGUUCAGUGCUCACUGUCUCCAGCAAGAACUGCCAGUCUUCAGACAACCACGAAGCUGAAACUACCAGAGUUGCUAGCAAUAAAUACACUGCAAAACAACAAGGAGGAAUCCGUUUAAGAAAAACACAGGGCGCUAACCCUUUCUGUGCACAGCUUGGUGUGACCCUAGCUAUUCGACCAAGUCACGCCCCCAAACAGAAGUUGGACCCAAGUCUGCUCAUCAAUGGUGUGAUGAUAGAGAUGCUUGAUUUUUCCCGAGUGCUGUGUGGAAAACACACUUACAUAGUUUAUGAACUGGUCAAGCACAACUUUGGUUAUGCUUUUAAUAAACCUCAGUUCCGAAUGUGUCUAAAUAGGGUGAUAGAGAGAAAAUACACCUGUCUGACAGCUGAGGACAAAGACACUUUCAGAAAGGAACUUUUUAAGAUCCCGGCUGAGAAGAAUAAAUUGGAAUAUAAAG
ensembl:lncRNA